ensembl:lncRNA
GGUCACCCUGGCGCAGAUGUUUGUCCGCCGGUGUCUCCGUACCUGGAAGAGAGCUGCUCUUCUCAAGACCACCUCCAGGUAUCAACGACAGGUAGACUGCCCCCAGGUAUCAACGACAGGUAGACCACCUCCAGGUAUCAACGACAGGUAGACUGCCCCCAGGUAUCAACGACAGGUAGACCGCCCCCAGGUAUCAACGACAGGUAGACCACCUCCAGGUAUCAACGACAGGUAGACCACCUCCAGGUAUCAACGACAGGUAGACCACCCCCAGGUAUCAACGACAGGUAGACCACCCCCAGGUAUCAACGACAGGUAGACCACCCCCAGGUAUCAACGACAGGUAGACCACCCCCAGGUAUCAACGACAGGUAGACUGCCCCCGGACCCCGGCUCCCUGCUACCAUCUAGGGCAGAGGGUAUGGCUGUCCACUUGGGAUCUGGCCCCCCCCGGGCAGAGUCCAGUACACUGUCCCCCCAUUUUAUCGGCCCUUUCGCCAUCUCUAAAAUCCAUAGUAUACAAACCCUCCGUAUACAUCCCACUUUUCAUGUAUCAAGGAUUAAACUUCUGUCUCCCUUGCCCUGACCCUGCCUGCCCUGACCCUGCCUGCCCUA